UGAGAUGUUGGGUUAAGUCCCGCAACGAGCGCAACCCUUGUUCUUAGUUGCCAGCAUUCAGUUGGGCACUCUAAGGAGACUGCCGGUGACAAACCGGAGGAAGGUGGGGAUGACGUCAAAUCAUCAUGCCCCUUAUGACCUGGGCUACACACGUGCUACAAUGGAUGGUACAAAGAGUCGCAAACCCGCGAGGGCUAGCUAAUCUCAUAAAGCCAUUCUCAGUUCGGAUUGUAGGCUGCAACUCGCCUACAUGAAGCCGGAAUCGCUAGUAAUCGCGGAUCAGCAUGCCGCGGUGAAUACGUUCCCGGGCCUUGUACACACCGCCCGUCACACCACGAGAGUUUGUAACACCCGAAGUCGGUGAGGUAACCGUAAGGAGCCAGCCGCCUAAGGUGGGAUAGAUGAUUGGGGUGAAGUCGUAACAAGGUAA
rnacentral:rRNA from 1 species